AGCCUAGCAUGGAAGCUGCCUGUCUUUGAGAAGCUAGACCUGGAGAUAGAAACAGUGACCACAAUGGACUGAAGAGCCAAAGAAACUCUAAAAUGAUUAGAAGAAAUUAAUAAAAGUGACUACCUGUUGGAGUGGUGAUGGGAACUGGGUGAGCCGUUAUAGAGGCAGCAUGUACCCCAUCUCGAGCGGCGAGAGUGGCACCACAAGCUCCUUCCCCAGGAACUACACUCUGCAUCUCAGCGUCAAGCUGCCAUCCCUUUGUGUCUGUGAGCAUCUGUGUUUUAUCUCCAUUUAUUUUGUGCGUCCCUGUCAGCAA